UAACAAUAUUGGGGUUGUAGGACCACAAUAUUUGAUGCUACGUGAAUUAGAACUGUUUGGAAAGACAGACCAAAGAGGGUGAUAGUCCCGUAUAAGUAAAGAGCAAUAAGAUAGUAGUAUCCUGAGUAGUGCGGGACACGAGUAAUCCUGUAUGAAUCAGUCGGGACCAUCCGAUAAGGCUAAAUACUCCU
rnacentral:rRNA from 12 species